AUGUUACCUAGCAUGUUAACCAAACGUCUGAAAGAAAACAAGCCACCUCUCCCACAACCCAAGCUACAAAUCUUUGCUAAAACUAUACUGCUACAAUUCACCAAGGCUUCUCCAUCAGCACCUAAAUCCUCCAAGCUCUACCUGGAAUGAUAAGGGUAGCAGGUACCCAUGGGAACAAUGUAGUUUCCAAGUUCAUGUCUAAGCCAUAUAUUUCAUCCUGAUCUGCCACUGCUUCUUCACUGUUGCUGGGUCACAAUCCUCUAACUCUUCCCCUAACAGUAGUGCGGGUGCCCCUAUAUCUAAAAGGUGCCUUCUCAGGGACAACAGGCAUGGACAAUAAAUGGUGGCCUGGUCAGAAAUGUUGACAUCCCAAGAACAAACGCAGGUAAAACAAAUGAUUCAAUCUAAGAUUCCGAAGGGGUUGGUCAUUGCAUUGAGCGGAAAAGUUGGGAGUCACGUUGCGGCCAUUCAGGACAUUGGUAAAGUUCCUCUGUGCUGCAGUGUGUGAUGGCUCGUUGGAAUAAUGUUCUAAUGCAGCUUCAUUUGUGGGUGUUGGAAUGGCUGCUCCUGUUUCACAUCCAGAAACUCAACCUGAGCUACAAAUCUUCUCAAAAUUCGUAAGUCUCAUCUUCGACACAGAAUGCUCCAUUGAUUAUUCUCGAUGUGGAGGUGCCAAUGUUGGA